rnacentral:lncRNA from 1 species
GAUCUUGAUGCAGGAUGUGGAGGUUUCAGCCUUGGUUACUUACAAUUUUACUUUAGGCCCUGGAGAGGCAGGCUGUGCAGCUGGGAUCGGUCCUGGAGGAAACUGCUUGUUCAUGAUGGCUAUUAUCACGUUGCCAAAAACCCUUAGACAUUGAAGAUGGAAUGGAAGCCUCUCUCAUCACUUCAAAGGUAGGUGUUUUAUCGCCCACGUUAUAAAUGAGGAGGCAGAAGCACAGAGAUGUCAGGACACUUCGAUGGAUGCCAAGCUUGUGACUGGCAAGGCUGAGGAAGAGUAAAUAAAUCCUGGAAGGAGCUGAAGAACAAAACAGUGCUCCCAACCCCAGCACGGAGAAGGACUCCUCUUUUCUUUAAUUCAAUUUUGCUAUAACAGAAAAAUUUAAAAAGUGAGAGAAUAGUAAAAUGGCCUGACGUUCUCACCAUUUAAUUUGGAACACGUGUUGACCCUGGCCUCGUCUUUUCUCAUCUCUUUCUGACUCUCUCCACCAUGUGGAUGAUCUCAUACUUUAUCUGCAGGUGCUUCUGUGACCUUAAUAUAGGACUUUAGAAGACACAACUCUAGAGCUGGAGAGAUGGCUGACUGGAUAAACUGCCACCAAAGACUGGAACCCAA